UACAGAGGGUGCAAGCGUUAAUCGGAAUUACUGGGCGUAAAGCGUGCGUAGACGGUUGCGUAAGUCAGAUGUGAAAGCCCCGGGCUCAACCUGGGAAUUGCAUUUGAGACUGCGUAGCUAGGGUGCGGAAGAGGGAAGCGGAAUUUCCGGUGUAGCGGUGAAAUGCGUAGAUAUCGGAAGGAACACCAGUGGCGAAAGCGGCGCUCUGGGCCGGUACUGACGCUGAGGAGCGAAAGCGUGGGGAGCAAACAGG
rnacentral:rRNA from 1 species